UGCAUAGCUCAGUCAGUAGAGCACGAGGCUCUUAAUGUCAAGGUGGUGGGUUCAAGUCCCACACCUUGGGCAAAA